UGUUAAAAAUUUCAUUCAUUUCUAUUGUUAAAAACUGACAUGGCUGAUAGAAUAACCAGAAAGUUAAAUGUGGCGUGUCACGUGUACCUCAUUCUGACGUGGACCGGUUUUUAACAAUAGAAAUAGACGAAAGUUUUAACA
rfam:Gossypium raimondii Chr11_contig_1472, whole genome shotgun sequence.